rnacentral:misc_RNA from 1 species
AAGUUGUAACAAGGUUUCCGUAGGUGAACCGGAAGGAUCAUUACAAAGUUAAACCCCCCCUGUGAACUUUUAGCACUGCUCUUGCAGCCCGUCUUCCUCCAGCAAUCCCUAGUAAAUCAUGCACGAGAAAUUACAGUUGCAAUUGUAGCGGUAGUGCAAGCAAUCUCAGCUUCUCCUGGGUCCUUUGGUGAAUUGAAAAGUGUCAUCAGAGAUCGCCGACGAGAAGGCCCUACGGCUUCACUGGAGGACAUCACGUCCGGUGACUAGAUGCUCGGGUCCCCAUGCCCCCUUACAACCCCAUGUCUCGCAGCCGGGUCGCGAUAAUACGCUUGACCUAAAAAUAAAAACCGAACAACUGUUAACAAUGGAUAUCUUGGUUCUC